rnacentral:rRNA from 1 species
AUACAGAGGGUGCAAGCGUUAAUCGGAAUUACUGGGCGUAAAGCGUACGUAGGCGGUUUGAUAAGUCAGAUGUGAAAGCCCCGGGCUCAACCUGGGAACUGCAUUUGAAACUGUCAGACUAGAGUUUGGUAGAGGGUAGUAGAAUUCCUGGUGUAGCGGUGAAAUGCGUAGAUAUCAGGAGGAAUACCAGUGGCGAAGGCGGCUACCUGGACCAAAACUGACGCUGAGGUACGAAAGCGUGGGGAGCAAACAGGAUUAGAUACCCUAGUAGUCC